ensembl:lncRNA
GAAUUUUUUUGAAAAAGGAAAAACACAGUAUAGGUAUCUAUAUUGAGAUUAAGGCAUAUUCUCUGUAUCUGGACAUAAUCCAGAGCAGUCCUCGUGUGUCUCAUUUUUGUCUAAUGACCCUAUUACUAAAAAAAAAACAUUUUUUACAAAUAUUUUAAUAGUCCCGUUUUUUCUUAGCUACUAUGGAAAAAACAUGAUAAAAAGACAUCCUCCUUAUGCCCCUAUUGCCUACAGUUUCAGUUGAAAUAACUAAAUGCUUUUAUAUUGUGAUGCAUUAUAUAUUUAAAGAUGCUUUACUUUCAGAUAUGCUCCAUCCUCGAUAUCCUCAUUGGAAUUCACGAAUCCUUAACAAAUAUUGACUAACCAUCAGCUGUCAAGCUCAUGGGCUGUUCCUUCUACAUCUGAUGCCUGCUCACUUUCUCUUUACAUGCACAACUGAAAACAGAAAAGCGAAACUCCCUUUACCCACUAAUUCAUUCACUAAACAUUAAUUAGGGUUCAUUUAGAUUCUCGAGAAAGGAGAAUAUAGAUCAAACCACAAUUCCUUAAAAAGCUUCCAUUGAUUUUUCCAGAGCGAACCAAUUUCUCUCUCCUCCUCCCGUGGGACUAACAGACUCCCUUUCAUAGGCACACAAUCUCCUUCCCGUCGAUCUGAAUUAGAGUCCGUUCCUUUAUCCCCCUCAUACGACAGAGUGAGCUUCUGGGGUACCACAACCAUGUUUUGCCUUCUUUGUGUGUUCUAUUCUCAUCAAAUAUGACUUAUAUCCUCCCCAGUUGUCCGAAGCUUAGUCGAGGAGCCACAAAUAAAAUUUUCUAGAUAGGACACAAAAACUUAAAAAACAUAAAUCAGGAAAAAGAUUGAUAAUAAACAGUGACAAAAAGAAAUAAUCUGCCCUUCAGUCCUACUUUUUCUCCAUUGCUUUAUGUCAAAAUGCCCUAAAACGUUCAUCUUUUUUUCCAUCCUGUUCCUUCUUGGAUGCAUUCCAGUCCAGUUUUAUCCACAUCAUUCCACCAACAAAUAAUACUGAGCCAGCCACCCAGCCACAGAGAGAAAACAUCGUAUUAACACAUGCACUGUAUGUUGCAAAUGAGAGAAGAAAAUGAAGCUGCCUAUCAACGUAGCCUUGAUACAGCUGAAGUCUCUGUACAUGCAGGUAAGAAUUAAAGAUUUUAAAAUUUAAAAAAUAAAAAAAUAAAAAUUAAAAAAAAAUAUCAUGAAUGUCAUUUGUACUGCUCAUCCUUAUUUUUCUUUUUGUUGAUCUAUGUUUUCACAUUUUACAAAACGAAUAUGUGUACAUUUUUAAGAAGGAAAAGGCAAUUCACAUUGCUGCAGACUAACCAACCCAGACGUGUCCACAGUGGAGCCUGUUUCAAUAUUUACUCCACACCAUGCUGUAGUAACAGAUGCUUUUAAGCAUAUCUUUCAAAGGGACUCUAUGUGGAAGGUGAAUUUACAAACAGAAUAAGGCCCAUUCUCAUAAGUGUCAGGUAAUGUUCUAAAUAUGCCAAAAUGCACUGAAAAGCUCAAAUUCAAGUUUUUUAAGAAAAGAAUUGUAAAAAUGACCCUCCUCAAAAGCUGUCAUCAUCAAUACAUUAUGUUCAUACCAUUUAUUUUGGUCUAGUUUAUUUAAUUAAUUGAAAGUUAGUUUCUUGCUAAUUAAAUGAAUAGAAGUCUUUUCCAGAGCUACAAUUUUAAACAUAUCUGUUAGGAAACACUGACACGUGCUCAUCACUCUGAGACAGUGGGUUUCUAUGAUUUAUAGGAAUGGACAUUCCUUUCUUAUAGGGUCUCUAUCUGAGGCAGACCCUAUAUGAAUUUUUCAAUCUAUUGAGAAGUAAGAGAGUACUGAGAGUUAGAAAUUUUUAAAAAUCAAG